CAAGAAAGGUACAAGGCUUCCGGGAUGUCCUGCUCAAAUGUAUGGGUUUUGUCCUGAAAGAGAUAAAGAAUCAUCAAAUCUUUUGAAACAGGAGGUUACAAACAAUUUAGGUUUUGGAAAGAUUGCCUGGCAAUGAACACUUGCUGUUGGUGCUAGAAUGUUGUAUGUUGUGUGCAUUUUCAUGCAGGUACUCACACAUGACACAAGCAGUAGAAAUGGACUCUGGCAAACAGAGCACAGAGUUUAUUGGAGAGGUUUAAGGACCUCACAGAAUCUAUUUAAUCUGGGGAACUGAGCUUGGAAAAUGGGUAGGAACCAAAGUAAUGAAAGUGUGGGACUUGAGCCAAGCUGGAUUCAGUGCUUUGGCUUCAGAGAUUGAUUUCUCAACUGUCCUUGCUGCUUGGCCUCAUUUGCUCAAGAUUUAAAGUCCCAGAUAUCAACAUUCAGUGGAAAGAAUCUCUGUCAGGGGGCCCAGGCUCUAGACUGACCCACAGACUCCCCUGGUCCCACCAAGGUCACCCAACUGGGGAUUUCUUCCAGAGAGGAAGGGUGUGCUGAGGGGCAGAAGGGGAAAAACAAAUCCACCAUCGUGCACAUUCACGAGGUCUUUAAAAUUUGAAUGGGAGAAAUGUGUGCUGAGACCACCCAAUUGAGCAUCGCCUCUGAGGAUGACACCAAAAGAUGGUCCCAGAAAGGGCAGAGUCAGUGAGGUCAGUCUUUAUUGGUGUAUAUAGAUGAAUUGCUGAGCACAUAGCUCCCAAGUCACCAUGGCCUCAGCAUAGACUUUUCUCAAACCGUAGCUUCAAGUGUAGGGUAGGUUGGUGUGUGCGUGUUGGGGGCCCUGCUCCAUUCACCUUCUCAGGGACCCAACUUCCAUCCAUUUGGUAACUCAGUGGGUCCCUAGAUCUUCAGCAUCUCCUUAAUCACUCAGAAGAUAAGGAAAGCCAAGGACUGCCCACUUGCAUGCAUGGUGCAUUGGCCAAAACUCCAUCACCUGGCCCCAUCUUUCAGCGGCAGAGGCAGGAAGAUGUGCCCAGGUGUUGGGAAUAGGUAAGCAUUACAGCCUCUACCUCAGACCCCUCCAGUUUGCUGGAAUAAGCCCUAUGAAUCCUCUUUGCGUGAAAAUAAGUUUAAAAUCAUGUGUCUUCCCUGAUCUUUUAGUAGAGCACUGUGUUGAGAGGAUUUUGAAGCCAAAUCCAGGAUAAGUGGUAAAGAAUUCUGUGGCUGAUGGGCUAAGUAUGCCAUGGGCAUGCAGUACAUUGCUUUUGGGUUUUUCUUUCUUUCUUUCUUUUUUUUUUUUGGCCAUGCCCAUGGCAGGCAGAAGUUCCUGGGCCAGGGAUCAAACCUACACUGCAUUAGUGACCCGAGCCAUAGCUGUGACAACACCAGAUCCUUAACCCACUAGACCACCAGGAAACUCCCUGCCAUGGGCAUGGCGAGUGCCACCUUUUUGUGGCACUCUACUAACUUAAUAGCUGUAUGACCUCAAGCCAGUCUUUUAAUCUCCCUGAACAUCCGUUUCCUACCGUACCUGCCUGCUUCACAGAGCUAUUGUGACUAUGGAAUGAGAUAAUGUAUUUGAAAUUGUCUGCAAACUCUAAAGCAUAAUGUGGUCAGAAUCCAUUACAAUAACUAAUUCAUUAGUCCUAAAUCUCUUUCAGGCUUCAAGAGGUUUUAGUAUUGUGAGAUGUGAUGAUCGAGUACUUAAGUACAUAAGACCAGAAAUUGUCACAUCCCAUCACAACCAUGGUUCAUUAAACCCAAUAUUGUCAUUGGCAGAGAAACUCAAGGGUACGUAGAAAGCUGCGGUUAUUGUCCUUGAUGUCAACUUCAGAGGAGAGUGACACAACCUAACGUGUUCUAAUUUGAGUUAGUAAUCAGGUGUGACUUUAUUCUCCGUGAUUUAAUCUAACCUUUUGGAAAGCACGCCCGCAUUAUCAACUUGUGCCCUCUUGUUCUCUAUUUUUGAAGCGAAGCUUUAUCUUUUCAUGUCUAAGCUUGGUAUGUUACCCUCAUUCGGCUUUCAAGGGAAAGGGACUUAGGGACUUAUUGCAGGACUCUAUGAAGAAGAAAGGAAACCCAGGAAAAACUCUCAGCCGCUGUACUUGCAGGCAUGGCGGAGAAUCUGAAUAUAGUUUUUUUUCCUUUCAGAAUCUAGUAAAAUAAUAGCAACCAAGCACUUAUAUAUGGUAUAAGCACUUUAUAUAAAUAUUCCCAUAUAACUGCACAACACGCUGUGCGGCAGGCUCUAUCAUUAUUGUCAUAUGUGCAAAAUGAGACACAGAGAGGUUAAGGAAGUUGUCUACGGUCACAGAGCUGGUAAGUGAAUUUGAACCCCAAAGAGUCUAACCGUAAGCGUGUGCUCUUAACUCUUUGCUGUUUGUUUCCUUAGGCCAUUCAGUCAAAAGUGUUUCUCACUUUCAUAACACUGCCGAAUUCUGACUUGGUGUUGACUUCCGUGCUCCCUCCCUUUUGGUCUUAACUGAAAACUUCCCCAGAGAGAGAAUAUGAUUGGGUCUAUUUGUCACUAGUGAGUAGGGACACCCCCUCCACCACUUUUGGCUUCAUGUGGGGGUCUCAUGACAGCCGCUUUGGCUCCUUUACGAAGCUGUCUUUAGCAGGUUACUGGCCCUAUCAGUUUUGACAGGAUCAUAAGGUCACAUGACACAAAGCAAGGCUUUUCAGAGAAAAGCCUGUGGGCCAGGCAGGCACCUAGAGGUUUUGGACCAUCCGUCCAGCCUUGCUAAAUGCAGAAUGUUCUCUGAUUACAGUAGAGGCUUCUGUCUCUGCUCCUCACCUUGUUCGUGAAAUGAUGGACUUCAAGGAUCCCCCUUUGCCCUUGCCUUUUUAGGCAGAAGAGCCCUUAUUCUUUCUCCAACAUUGUUCUGGUCUUUCUCGGUUCUGUUAUGAAUUUAUUCAGAUAUAGAAAUCAGAUGGAUGACAUUUUUUUUUUCCCCCCAGACUAAAUGCACCAAGGUUUUGAAGACGAGAGGGUCAUCUUUAUCCUUUGUUUCUAGCAUCUUCAAGUUGAAGCCUCUCAGAAUAAAGUCUCAUUUCUUUAACAUGGUGUGAGGGACAAUAACUGCCCGGGCUCAGUGGCUCUCUCUAGGGUUAUCUAUAGACACGUCCCUAGACAAGCCCUGCGGGAGAACCACACUCAGGUGCCAGUAUGUAGCAUUAAGUACUCUAAAACCCCCAGCCACCGCUCAGGCUCUUUCUCUUGAUGUCUUCGUCAUGAUAGAGUAGUUUUGAAAACUUGGGCUCUGGGGUCAGAUGAGUAUGGAUUUAAAUUCCAAUUGUCCUUGGCCAAUUUCUCAAACCCUACGAGCUUUCAUCUCCUCACCUGUCAAGUGGGGAUUACCAUACUUAUUCCCUUUGAUCAUUAAAUCAGAGAAUGCACAGAAAGUGGCCCCUCUGAUGCCUGGCAAAGAGUAAAUAGUCAACAGAAGGGCUCCCUGAUAUUCUCGGGGCCCAGCUUGGACACCUCUGCUCUUUCCUUUCUCUUGCUCUUCUAUAAACAAUGCCCAAUGUGCUCCUCCCCAUAGCUAUGGUGUUGGUCACUCAUCGGACAACCACAACACUUUAUACCUAGAUGACGGGAUAGUAUUCCAAGAUGUUAACCACUUUUCUUCCUGCAAUUUCCUUUCCAAAAUUGUUCAGCCCUCUGUUCAAACCACCAAGUCUUUUUGUACCACUACCUCAGGAAAAGGAUGUGACAGCGGAAAACAGGGAAAUCAGGAGACUCUCCCUGGUGUGGUUUUUUUUUUUACUUGCCACACCUACAGCAUGUGGACGUUCCUGGGCCAGGGAUUCAAUCUGAGCCAGAGCUGUCACCUAUGCCAUAGCUGUGGCAAUGCUGGGUCCUUUAAUCCACUGCGCGGGGCCGGGGAUCGAACCCAAGCCUAUGCAGCAGCUCCGGUCACUGCAGUUGGAUUCUUAACCCACUGCACCACAUUGGGAACUCCUGUUCCUGGCUUUUUGGUUCUAAAAAUCCAGUCCCUUAGGGAAUCAGAAGGACAUCAUACCUUGGGGGCCCCGCAGUUGUAAUAAGGAAAGGAUUGUGGCAGCUGUGGUAUAAGGGCAGCCACCACUCAGGGACAAUCAAUUGUUCCCAUGUAGGACUCUGGGACUGCUGUUAACAGAUUCUCCUCUUUUCAAGAGAAACUUAAAAAAUCAGACUUUAAAAAAAUGUGAAAUAUGAAAUUGAAUUUAUCACUCAUUGCGUAUUUUUAUUUCAAAACAUUUAUUCAAUACAGCUUUAUUCAAGAACAAACAAUGAGUAAGAACCUGAAAAUACAAACAAGACAAUCUCUGUUCCAGGAGCUCCUUGUCUGAAGGAGAGCCAGACACACAAACAGAGGAUAUGGUUGAGUGAUAAGUCUUAUGUUAGAGAGUGAUUCCCAGCCUGUGAGCCCUGGGCCAGCAGCAUCAGCAUCAUCGCCUGGGAACUUAUUAGAACUGCCAAACUAUGAAUCGGAAAGCUGCUUGUUUUAACAAGCUCUCCAGGCGAUUCAGAUGCAUGCCAAAGUUGGAGCGCCCACCUGAGAGUGGAAAGCAAAGCACACUUUGGAAGAGAAAGCCAAUACAUUUAGGCCAAACUUGAGAUUUGUUCCAUUGAGAAAUCGCUUCCUGGUCCCUUCCAGACUAGAUUCUAAAUAUGUUUCUCUAUGAUAGCUGACAAGGAUGAUACGAAAGGGUAUCAAUCUCUUUAAGUAAACGAUAAGAACUUUAAGAGCAGGGUGUGAUUCUUCUUUUAAUUUUCCCUUCUCCCCCUCCUUUCAGAUAUCAGAACAAUACUGAGAAAGUACAGGCAUUGGAAUUUACUUGAAAUAGCUAAUUUAGAAAUUAGACCAUCUACGCUGGUGCAAGAAUUAUACAUUCACUAUGAGAAAAUGGCAAAUGCAUAUUGAUAAAUGUUCAUAAUUUCCUGUGACAAAAUAUACACAAAAGUUACCAUUUCAACCAUUUAACAAAUAUACAGUUAAGUGGUUUUUUGGUUUUUGUUUUUUUGGCUACACCCAUGGCAUGUGGAAGUUGCCCAGGAAGGGAUCAAACCCAAGCCAUAGUAAUGACCUGAGCCACAGCAGUGACAACACCAGAUCCUUAACCUACUUAGCUAGCAGGGAACUCCUGGAAAAUUUAAAAAUUUUCAUGGAACCAUAAAAUUAUGGCUAGAAUUAUAUUAAUAAAUCUAUGAAUAUUUUUCUUUAUGAUUUCUGUUACCAUCCUUGAAAGCAGUCACCACUCAAUGCUAAUGGAUGUAUUCAAUUAUAUUUUCUUCUAAGUUUCUGUUAAUUUAAUACACACAGGAUUUGCUUAGAUGUAUGUUUUUUCCUAAAUGGCUAAUCAGCAGUUUUAGCAUCAUCCUUUCUUUUUCUUUUGGCUGCACCCGCGGUGUGUGGAAGUUCUGGGCCAGGGAUCCAGGGAAUUAAACAUGCACCACAGCAAUGACCCAAGCUGUUGCAGUGACAACGCCAGAUCCUUAACGAUCUGUGCCACAACGAAAAUCCCCAACAUCGUUUUUUUUGCAUAAGCCAUCUUUCCUCCGCUGAUUUAAAAUGACAUCUUCUCAUAAUAAAUUUCUGCUGGUAUUUACUCCUGGAUCUUCUGUCUAGUCCUUUCAGAAUAUGACAUUGUCUUAAUUACUGUCCUGUUAUGCUCUACUCUCUAGGUGAGUUAAGUCCUCCUUGCUUUGUGGUUAUUAAUGGUCAUAUAACAGUCCAUCAUGUAGCUGAAACCUGGCCUCUGUUCAUAGGUACCAACUAAGUCUUAGAGACAGAGAUUUGGGUGAAGCAGAAAGAAGAGCUUUACUGCUUUGCCAGGCAAAGGAGGCCACGACAGGCUAACAUGCUCAAAACCGUGUCCUCUCUUGAGAGGGGAUAGCAAGGAGUUUUAAAAGUUUAGCUAAAAAACCCACCCAACCUAACAACAAGAACAACAAAAAACCAAGGCUGUUGAUAAGGAUUAGGAUGCCUGCAUUUUUCUCCUGCCAUAGAUCAUUUCAAAGUCAUCCAGGCUGGCCUCAGGUGGUCCUGUGACAGUUUCUGGUGGUCUUUGGGGUUAUUGCACUUUGACCUACUCUCUGCAAUGAAGAUGGCUUACAAGAGGUGAGUGUUUCCAAGGAAAAGAAGACACCAGGUGGGCAAUGUAACUCUUAACUAGAAAGUAAUCAUUAGCUGCAGUUCCUGUCGUGGCUCAGUGGUUAACGAAUCUGAACAGGAACGAUGAUGUUGCGGGUUUGAUCCCUGGCCUCACUCUGUGGGUUAAGGAUCCCGUGUUGCCGCGAGCUGUGGUACAGGUCAUAGACUCUGCUUAGAUCCUGCGCUGCUUCGGUGUAGGCUGGUGGCUACAGCUCCAAAUUAGACCCCUAGCCUGGGAACCUCCAUAUGCCACAGGUGUGGCCCCAGAAAAGACCAAAAAAAAAAAAAA
rnacentral:lncRNA from 1 species